GAUCUCGCUGAAGUCAUCAAUGAAACAAACCUUCGAACAUUGGAAAUAAAGUCACUGGGAAAGAUGUUGCUGUUUCAGUAUCUUAUCCACGUUCUUGAAGGAGAUUUUGUACAUGCAACAAAGCUUAUGAAGAAACCAUGAACUGGAUGCUUGUAAGAGAGUCCUUGCCCAGUAUGCUUCUGGUAUAUUUCUACCUUAUAAGCCUUUCAUUGUGAUGGAUCUUUAAUUUAG
rnacentral:misc_RNA from 1 species